rnacentral:rRNA from 1 species
UACAGGGGGUGCAAACGUUGCUCGGAAUUAUUGGGCGUAAAGCGCGCGUAGGCGGCCACUUAAGUCGGAUGUGAAAGCCCCUGGCUCAACUGGGGAAGUGCACCCGAAACUGAGCGGCUUGAAUGCAAAAGAGGGUCGCGGAAUUCCCGGUGUAGAGGUGAAAUUCGUAGAUAUCGGGAGGAACGCCGGUGGCGAAGGCGGCGACCUGGGUUGACAUUGACGCUGAGGCGCGAAAGCGUGGGGAGCAAACAGG